AUAAAGUCCAACACUUACUUGUGGCGCCCAGAUUUCUUUGUCCUUGAAACUCCAACAAAACCCAGGAGAAGAGGCCAAAUCCUGAUCCCAAAAGGGAAAAAAGGAGGGAAAACGAGCACCUGCCCUUUUCCACUCUGGGAGCUGUUGAGCACCUGCACAAUUAAAGCUUCAUUAAACCCAACUUUUUUAAUUGCCUCUGGGUCGUUGGAGCAGGAAAAACAGCUGGAAAAAAGCCUUGGACAUGGGAUGAGCAGAUCCAGAGAAUUCCCGGGAAAAGCGCGGGAAAAGCUCCAUGCCCUGGGCCAAAAUCCUGGGAUUUACUGAGCCAGAGGCAAUUAGUGACCUGUUUUUUCCCAGGGAUUCAGGAGGAUUCACCUGUUCCUGGGAAUUAUUGGAAAAUUGAGCUCCCUGUUCAACUCCUCUGGACUCUCUUUGCCUUCUACUCCCCCCAGUGGCCACAGC